UGGGGUGUGGCUCAGUGGUAGAGCACCUGCCUAGAAAGCAUAUGGCCCUGGGUUCCAUCCCUAGUACCCCAA